CCUACGGGUGGCAGCAGUGAGGAAUAUUGGUCAAUGGCCGAAAGGCUGAACCAGCCAAGUCGCGUGAGGGAAGAAUGUCCUAUGGAUUGUAAACCUCUCUUGUCAGGGAGCAAAGUCACCCACGUGUGGCUUUUUGAAGGUACCUGAAGAAAAAGCAUCGGCUAACUCCGUUCCAGCAGCCGCGGUAAUACGGAGGAUGCGAGCGUUAUCCGGAUUUAUUGGGUUUAAAGGGUGCGUAGGCGGAUUAUCAAGUCAGUGGUAAAAUCGUGGAGCUCAACUCCGGCCAGCCGUUGAAACUGGGGAGCGUGAGUGGGCGAGAAGUAUGCGGAAUGCGUGGUGUAGCGGUGAAAUGCAUAGAGAUCACGCAGAACUCCGAUUGCGAAGGCAGCAUACCGGCGCCCAACUGACGCUGAAGCACGAAAGCGUGGGUAUCGAACAGGAUUAGAUACCCCUGUAGUC
rnacentral:rRNA from 1 species